rnacentral:rRNA from 1 species
GACGAACGCUGGCGGCGUGCUUAACACAUGCAAGUCGAACGGUGAAGCGCCUUCCUUUUUGGUGAGUGUGGAUGAGUGGCGAACGGGUGAGUAACACGUGAGUAACCUGCCCCCUUCUUCUGGAUAACCGCAUGAAAGUGUGGCUAAUACGGGAUAUUCUGGGUCUGUCGCAUGAUGGGUCUGGGAAAGAUAUUGUUUCGGUGGGGGAUGGGCUCGCGGCCUAUCAGCUUGUUGGUGGGGUGAUGGCCUACCAAGGCGGUGACGGGUAGCCGGCCUGAGAGGGUGGACGGGCACACUGGGACUGAGACACGGCCCAGACUCCUACGGGAGGCAGCAGUGGGGAAUAGUGCACAAUGGGCGCAAGCCUGAUGCAGCGACGCCGCGUGAGGGAUGGAGGCCUUCGGGUUGUGAACCUCUUUCGCCAGUGAAGCAGGCCUGCCUCGUUUGUGGGUGGGUUGACGGUAGCUGGAUAAGAAGCGCCGGCUAACUACGUG